AAGAGCAUGUGAAACCAUAAAAAUGGAACCAAGUGGAAUUAAAAAAAAAAAAAGAUGUAUUUAUAUAUUUAUUUGGAAUUCACAUUAUAAAUUGAUUAACACACAAAUUUUUUUAAAUUUUUAUUUAUUUAUUUUUAUUUUUUUGACAGGCAGAGUGGACAGUGAGAGAGAGAGACAGAGAGAAAGGUCUUCCUUUGCCGUUGGUUCACCCUCCAAUGGCCGCCGCGGCCAGCGCGCUGCAGCCGGCGCACCACGCUGAUCCGAUGGCAGGAGCCAGGUGCUUUUCCUGGUCUCCCGUGGGGUGCAGGGCCCAAGCACUUGGGCCAUCCUCCACUGCACUCCCUGGCCACAACAGAGAGCUGGCCUGGAAGAGGGGCAACCGGGACAGAAUCCGGUGCCCCGACCGGGACUAGAACCCGGUGUGCCAGCGCUGCAAGGCGGAGGAUUAGCCUAGUGAGCAUGGCGCUGGCUAACACACAAAUUAAAUCAAAGAAGGGGAAAGCCAUUUAAAAGAGCACUAUAUAUUUGCGCAGAUAAAACUUGCUCUGUGACUUGGUUUGUCAUGGCCAUCUUUUCAUGCCAAUCUAUAAAUCCUUCCAGUCUUUCUAAGACUGCACAGGAGAGGAGAAUCAUACAUUUUCUUUUUUUUCCUAAGAUUUAUUUCUUUAUUUGAAAGAGUUACACAGGGAGAGAAGUAGAGGCAGAGAGAGAGAGAGAGAGAGAGAGAGAGGUCUUCCAUCUGUUGAUUCCCUCCCCAGAUGGCUGCAACGUGCUGGAGCUGCUCCGAUCCGAAGCCAGGAGCCAGGAGCUUCUUCAGGGUCUCCCACGUGGGUGCAGAGGCCCAAGGACUUGGGCCAUCUUCUACUGCUUUCCCAGGCCACAGCAGAGAGCUGGAUCAGAAGAGGAGCAGCCAGGACUCGAACCAGCACCCAUGGGAUGCUGGCACUGCAGGUGGCGGCCUCAAAUCAUACUUUUUCUACCCAGUUCUCUUCUGAUAGGCAUUUGGGUCUAAUUUUUCAAUAUUAUAUAGAGAAUGCUGCAUUAUACAUCCUUAUAUGUAUAUCUUUGAUAAAUUCAGUGUUUUAUGUCCAUUAUCUGAGAUGAUGAAAAAAACCUGCAAAUAUGAAGGUCUACCAUCAUGUUGGAAAUGCAGACCUGGAGCUGAGGGGCACCAGGCCUAGGAUGGAUCGGAGACUGUUUUACACAGGCCUGAGUGAAGUCAUAGGAGUCAAUGAAAUAUGAACGAAAUUGAAUAAAGCCUAGAGACAGGAAUAUUUAGCA
rnacentral:lncRNA from 1 species